GGCCUUGUAGCUCAAUUGGUAGAGCAUGCGCGUACAAAGCUUAGGUGGCGUCCAUGCGUGGGUUCGAAUUCCAUUGAGGCUA
rnacentral:tRNA from 1 species